rnacentral:tRNA from 1 species
GUCCCCUUCGUCUAGAGGCCCCAGGACACCGCCUUUCACGGCGGUAAAUAGGUUCGAAUCCUAGGGGACGCCA